rnacentral:rRNA from 1 species
GGACUACCCGGGUAUCUAAUCCUGUUUGCUCCCCACGCUUUCGCGCCUCAGCGUCAGUCUGUGUCCAGGGCGCCGCCUUCGCCACCGGUGUUCUUUCCGAUAUCUACGCAUUUCACCGCUACACCGGAAAUUCCACGCCCCUCUACACGACUCUAGUCUUCCAGUAUGAGAUGCAACUCCCAGGUUAAGCCCGGACCUUUCACAUCUCACUUAAAUAACCGCCUACGCGCCCUUUACGCCCAGUAAUUCCGAUUAACGCUCGCACCCUCUGUAUUACCGCGGCUGCUGGCAC